AUACGGAGGAUCCGAGCGUUAUCCGGAUUUAUUGGGUUUAAAGGGUGCGCAGGCGGCCAUUUAAGUCAGCGGUUAAAUCGUGGGGCUCAACCCCAUUCUGCCGUUGAUACUGGGUGGCUUGAUUGCGGUCGAGGUUGGCGGAAUUCGUUGUGUAGCGGGGAAAUGCAUAGAUAUGACGAAGAACACCGAUUGCGUAGGCAGCUGACCAGACCGCAAAUGACGCUCAUGCACGAAAGUGCGGGGAUCGAACAGGAUUAGAUUCCCUGGUAGUCCACGCAGUAAACGAUGAAUACUUGUUUUCGGCGAUAUAAUGUCGGAGGCAAAGCGAAAGCGAUAAGUAUUCCACCUGGGGAGUACGCCGGCAACGGUGAAACUCAAAUGAAUUGGCGGGG
rnacentral:rRNA from 1 species